rnacentral:rRNA from 1 species
UACGUAGGGGGCAAGCGUUGUCCGGAUUUAUUGGGCGUAAAGAGCGUGUAGGCGGCCACACAGGUCAGCUGUGAAAACUCGAGGCUCAACCUCGAGACGUCGGUUGAAACCGUAUGGCUAGAGUCCGGAAGAGGAGAGUGGAAUUCCCGGUGUAGCGGUGAAAUGCGCGGAUAUCGGGAAGAACACCCGUGGCGAAGGCGGCUCUCUGGGACGGUACUGACGCUGAGGAGCGAAAGCGUGGGGAGCAAACAGG